rnacentral:rRNA from 1 species
CGCCUGUUUAUCAAAAACAUCUUUUCUCGUUAGUUUUUGAAGUAUGGCCUGCCCACUGACUUUAUGUUGAAGGGCCGCGGUAUUUUGACCGUGCAAAGGUAGCAUAGUCAUUAGUUCUUUAAUUGUGAUCUGGUAUGAAUGGCUUGACGAGGCAUGGGCUGUCUUAAUUUUAAAUUAUUUAUUGAAUUUGGUCUUUGAGUUAAAAUUCUUAGAUGUUUUUAUGGGACGAGAAGACCCUAUAGAGUUUAACAUUUAUUAUGGUCCCUUUCUGUUUGUGAGGGUUCACUGGGCCAUUUAAUAUGUUUUGUUGGGGUGAUGGGAGGGAUUUAUUUAACCCCUCCUUUAUAUUGUUAUAUUUAUUUAUAUUUACUUGAUCCAUUUAUUUUGAUUGUAAGAUUAAAUUACCUUAGGGAUAACAGCGUAA